GAGGAAUCAUCUUGUAGUUUUUGCAGUUGUAAAUCCCCUUCCUUCCUUGCUGUUGAUAAACCAUGCGUCCGCCUGUCCUCUUGUCUCUUGUUCUCCUUCUUGUCGUAUGCCUUGCCUGGGCUACUACCACACACUGUGAAGGAAUGAUGAUGAACGUGGAUAAUGGUGGUGGUAAGGAGAAGGAGAAGGAGAAGAUCAGCUUACCAUACGGGUUGUGCGUCCACAAAAAAACGGUUGACCCCUGCUAUUAUCACAAGUUGUGCUACUGCUGCGAUCUCACCAAGUCUGUCAUGCUACACUCGAUGAAUGCAAGCAAGAUUGCAAAUAAUAUAUAGUAGAACAUGAAGGCGCGCAUUUCUGCGCCCGUCUAUCCUAAUGAAAGUUCAAUAAAAAUAUUUUCAAUAAAAUAAGGAAUAGAGGUGGAAA